CAGAGAGAGAGAGAGGGGAAGAAAACGACCCGAGGGAAGCAGUACGAGGAGGAUAGGUGGGCCAACGUGAUUGGAGAUAUCCUUGAGAACAGAGGGGAGUAUGCAGAGGCGCUCAAGUGGCUGCGGGAUCAGUCGCAGAAAAUUUCCUCCAAGCCCAAAAGCAGCUAUCUAAGUCCUACUAGUGGCAGCCCAUUACUCCUCAGUGAAAUGUCGUAUACUCUCCUGCACUUCAAGUCCUAAACCGCUACAGUUUCCUCCAACAAACCUCAUCAUGCAAUUCCAACAACAUCUUAGGGAAAUUGGGAAUUAGUUGAUCAAAUGCAGGAGCUCAAGCAUGAGCAGAAGUUGAGAAUCCAAGCCAGGUAGCAAAUACGGAGAAUCCAUGUGUCCCAAACGGUUGGAAGGAAUCUUGGCGAGUGGGAGAAAAAAAGAUCAAAAAGGAAAAUUCGGGGGCUUUGCUUGGUUCUCAACGACGCAGACUACUCCCAGCCGAACUCCCAAAUGCCCAGAAGUUUAUUCCUUUCCCAUUUCUAUAGUUUAUUUUUGAAUCCAAAGACUUCUUGGCUGGAUUCAAAAUCCAUUCUUGGGUUAGAUCACUUUAUCAUUCCUAAUUCAGCAGCUUUGAGUUUCUGUUUGUUUUACAUUUACGUUGGAUAUAGUUGUGAUUCUGUUGAGACUUGUCUUAAGAUUCAUGGAUUUUAUUUUUCUAUACAUAUGGUCGGUUGUAAUUUCUGAUUGGAGUACUGUUGUUGGGCAAAUUUGGAUCUUUAUUGAUGGGCCCCAAGGCGGACCAAGUCUUAAGUAU